CACGCGGAUCCCGCCCCGGAGCCCGGGCCCUCGCCCUGCGCGCCCCGCCGGCCGCCUGCGGCCCCUCCGGGCCCGCCAGUGGCCAGCUCGCCGCCGCGGCUCGGCAGGCCGCGCUGGGCCUGGGCGGGCCCCGGGCUCGUAGUCGAGGCCGCCGCGCGGGCCGGGCCCAUCCUUCCGCGGCCUGGGGCGGGACUCGGGCGGUGGAAAAACCUCCGCCCGGCGGCGUUUCCUGCGGUUCCCGAGGCGGGCGGGUUCCCGAGCCAGAACCCGCGACCCUCGGGAGGAUCGACCAGGGGGCAUUCGGUUUAUCAUUUUCCGCCUUUGGUUUGAUGUCGUCGGAAAGGAAAAUAAAUAAAUAAAAAACAAAGAAGGCAGGCGUGAAAUGGAAAAGGAGGCCAGGUAGAGAAGAUUAAGAUCUCUGCUCCUGCCGCCGACAGCUCCCCGCAGCAGGGCGCGAUUCCCCAGGGGUUCAGAGGCUGGUCCGUUUGUCGAAGCCCGUCCCCCUCGCCUCCGCUCUAAGACAGAAGCCAGAAUGGGACCAGGGACGGGCCCGCAGUUUGCAAAUCUGGAAAAGGCGACAUUAAACUGUGAUGAUGCCCUAAAAUGUCGAGCUGCGCCGAAGGCUGCAGGGCGUGUGCCUGCGUGUGUGUUUUAAAAGCUUGGAAAUGACGUUUAAAGAGAUUUAAUAACAUAGCUGGGGAGGAAUGUCCGGGAUGCUUGGAUUAUUUCAGGUAUGAUUUAUAAAUUGAGGCCCAAGGGAAAAGAGCUGCUUGUUUUACUCGCCCCUAUUUGUAGCCGGGUUUCUCCUGGAAAUUCAGACAUUCUGUUGGGCUUUUGGAGGUACUUAAUCUAUGGAAUUGUGGGAAUUGAGCCAGGUAGUAAGUAACUGAUGUUGAUUGGAAACGCAAAUAACUUGCUACGUUUUGUCAGGUUUCAAAUGCUCUCGGUAUCAUUUGCAUAUAGAUGUAAAUCGUGCUUUUAUGAAACUACCCUAUCAUAGAUGAUCUACAGAUAAAUAUUUUAGAAAUAAGAAAAACCAAUACGAUUAAAACAUCUAGAUUAACCCUGGUAUAUUCGUUACCGGUUUGUUUUGCUGUCAUCAGCCCUAUGUUGUAAUUUCCUCCCUCCACCAGCUGGACUCCAGAAGUGACUGCUAAAGAAUUUAGCUUCUUGGUUUCAUAAACACGCCCAAAUUGUGGCAAUGCAGUGUAGUCCUUAGAUCUGUCACAGCCUGGGGUCCGCCACAUGCUUUUCUCCAUGACCUUGGGCAAGACUCUGGGCUCUUUCCUGCUGUAAUAAAUACAAAUGACAGGUGUCACUUAAGUGCCAGUAAGGUGUUGCCAAACCACAUGUACCCUUUAGUGUGAUCUAAUUCAUUCUUUUCAUCCUGCCUUGGAAGGCAAACAAGCAAAAAGCUGUGGCUUUUCUUUGUACUGCCAUCUUCUUGAGCUCUUAGGUAAUGCUGACAUACUGCUAGAAUACAAAAUAUUUGAUGGAAUAUCAGAAUUAAUGUAUUCCUUGCUGUAGUAUGUCAGGCACAGGCCAUCUUUAUUUUAUUUUUAAGAUAGUUGUUUUGAAGAAACUAUCCUUCAAAAAAGGAGGAAAAAAGCAAUCUUUUUAGAAAAAUUGCAAGAUAAGAAAGCCAAAAAGAAAAGGAAAACCCCCAAAACUCCACAGCAAAAACCUAUCACUCAUAGAUAACAAAGUCAAUAUUUUGAUAUGUAUCUUUGUGGACUUACAGCUAUGUAAAUAUGCACAAGUAUAGAUCAUGUGUACAGAUAAAGAAAAGUAUACAUGUGUACAGAUUAGGAAAGCUAAUAUUGGUUGAGCUUGUACUAUUUGCCUAUUAUGGUACUAAGUGCUUUACACCCAUUAUUUCACUAAUCCUCACAACACUCUUAUGAGGCAAGGUUUGGUACUGUAUAGGUGACCAAAUCAAGACUCCAAGAGGCUCAGUAACUUGUCAAGGUCACAGCUUCUAAACAGUGAUUACUUAGGAUAAAUACACACCUACUUAAAACACAGGCUCAUGGUCCAAAUAUAGGCAUCUGCAUUAGCAGAUAAAACAUUUGAAUAUGUCUUUGCUUUUGCAGAGGCACAUCUUAGUACACACAUGUACAAUUCCAUAGGCCCCUGAUUAGAUUUGCACACACUUUGUGCAUAUAUGCACAAGUAUAUGUUUACAUAUCCCCGUGUGCCCAUGUGUAUCAUGUUCUCAGACACAUGUAUAGUCACAAAUUUGCAUAUAUGUGUGUCACUGCACAGGGAUAUACAGAGGCACACAAUAUAGCUAUAUAAUAAGAUGGACUCAGACUUGAAUGUUUGCAUGUAACUACAGGUGAACCAUAAUUUCAGUUGCCUAUUGUAGGUCACUAAGGACAUUCAUAAUUUUUUCAUUCACUGAAGUUUAUUUUACAUACAUCCUCAACUAUUUCUAGAUGUGGAAAUACUUGGUGAGAAAAUACAUAUUUAAAGGGCUUUUGAAUUAUAGAAUGUUGGUGAAUUUUCCAGGCAACUUGAUAAGAGUAUGAUACUCUGGUUCCAGUCACAAAAGGCCAUUCUGACUUCUAUUUCAGCUGGUUAAUCACAUUGAGCCGGUCAUCUAGAAAAGUAAAUAUAAUGGAAAGCUGUAUGAUUCAUUCAUAAAUGCAAACAGUUUUGCCUUUAUGGUCUUUUUAUUGGUGGUUGAGUAUGUGCACAACUUGAAUUUAGCAUCAUGACAGCUACACAGAAAGGCUGGGCUCAUAGGGUCCCUGGGCAUUAUUUUUUCUCCUUGCCUUUGCAUUUUGAAACUAAGAUUAUGUGUCCAAACAUUCAGAAGCACUAUUUUAGAAAGGCCUAGAUAGAAUCAGUGUUAGAGAAGUUACGUGUUACGUGUUUCUGUCUGUGGACAGUUAGUCCUGUUUAUCCAUCCCAUUCUCUCUUUACCUCCCUGGAAUAGAUAUUUACCUGUAUCGUGAAUUUUGCCAAAUGCUUCCUGAAGUGUUUUGAAAUGUUUGGAUCUCAUGUAAGUGGGCAGUGAUGACAUUGCCAUAGAGGCUUAAUAAUAGACGGCAGAGUGUUUAGUUUUAGACUUAUCUCGCUGCCUGCUAAAGGAGCUGUUCGCUUGUGAGUGUCAGUAACAAGUUUGUAUUGUAGUCUGAUGACAUUGUAGAGCAGCUUUGGCAAUGAUAACCUUUUUGGGUAAGUUCUCUCAGGACUAUGGAGAAAGAUUUUCAUAAAUCAGGGAAAGAAUUUUACAUUUGGCAGACCAAACCAUAUUUAUGUACAAGUGUUAGAUGUAAAAGUCAUGAUCCUGGAGGAAGGAGUGAAUAGUGCCCAUGUGAUUUUAUUUUUUUAGUUGGCAAAAGUCACUAUAUAUCAUGGAAUGACCAUAGAAUGUUAUGUCAUGAUUUUUAGGUUAUUUUGCUUUAUUUGUGGCCUUUAUUGCCAGUGAUCAAAGAAAACUUUUAUGAAAGUAUUGAAAUGGGUGUAAUGAUUUCUUUUUGAAAAGUUUUUAAAAAUUGUAAACUAAUGUAAAAUUUACCAUUUUAACCAUUUUUGAGUGUACAGUUGGUUCAAUGGCAGUGAAGGUAUUCACAUUGUUGGCAACCAUCACCACCAUCUGUUUCCAGGAUUUUUCAUCUUCUCCAGCUGAAACUCCAUAUUCAUUAAACAAUAACCCCCCUUUUCUCUCUUCCCCAACCCCUGAGAGCCACAAUUCUACUUUCUAUGAAUUUGCCUACUCUAAGUACCUCAUAUAAGUGGAAUCAUAGAGUAUUUGUCCUUUUGUGAGUGGUUUAUUUCACUUAGAAUAAUGUUCUCAGGGUUCAUCUGUGUUGUAGCAUGUCAGAAUUUCCUUCCUUUUUAAGGCUGAAUAAUAUUCCAUUGUAUGUAUAGUCCGUGUUUUGCUUAUCCACUCAUCUGUAAUGGACACUUGGGGUGCUUCCACGUUUUGACCACUGUUAAUGUGCUGCUGUGAACAUGCAUGUAUCUUUUGAGUUUCAACUUUAAAUUCUUUAUUUACCCAGAGGUGAAAUUGCUGGUUUAUAUGGUAGUGCUAUUUUUAAUUUUUUAAUUAAAAUACUGUUUUAAACUGGUGGUUAUCAGAGGAGAGGGAUGUUUGGGGGAUGGGUAAAUUAGGUGAAGGGGGUAAGGAAGUACAAACAUAUAAAUAAGUUAGUCACAGGGAUGAAAGUACAGCAUUAGAAAUACAGUCAAUAAAUAAUAUUGUAGUAUCUUUGCUGAUGGAAAGCAACUACACUUAACUGUGGGGAACAUUUAAUAAUGUAUGUAAUUAUCAAAUCACUAUGUUAUAUACACCUGAAACCAAUAUAAUACAGCGUAUCAACUAAAUUUCAAUUGGAAAAAAAAGCUCUUUUCCAUAGUGGCUGCACCAUUUUACAUUCCCACCAGCAAUGCAUAAGGGUUGCAGUUUAUCAUAUACUAAUCAACACUUGUUAUUUUCUGUUUGUUUUGAUAAAGCCAUCCUAAUGGAUAUGAAGUGAUACCUCAUGGUGGUGUUGAUUUGCAUUUCCCUAAUGAUUACUGACAUUGAGCAUCUUUUUUUAUGUGCUUAUUGGCCAUUUGUCUAUCUUUGGAGAAGUGUAUAUUCAAGUCCUUUGCCCAUUUUUGAAUUAUUCUUUUUUUUGUGUGGUUUAGUUACAGAAGUAGAGCAAUUUCUUAAUAAUGUUUAUUCACAUUUUCAACCUUUUUACUAUGAAAAUUUCAAACAUGGAAAAAGUAUAGUAUGAUAAACUUUAUGUACUCUUCACUCAACCUCAACAGUUAUCAACAGAUGGCUAAUCUGUUGCAGUUAAAGUCCCCACCAUUAUUUUGAAGCAAACCCUGAAACUUAUAAUUUCAUCCAUAAAUAUUUCUGUGUGUAACUAAAAGAUACGAUGUUUUAAGCAGGUACUAUCACAUGAGAAAUAUAAGAGCACUUCUGUAAUCUGUUAUGAAUAUGAAAACAGGAUUUCUCAGUGUCAGGCACUGCACAUCUGCAGGUGUCAUUUGUAUUGACUCAUUCCUGGUAAGCUUGUGUUGUAUACUUCGUGUUGCUUUGUAGCAGUAAUGGAUUCCUGUUGAUCCAUUCUUAUUUUUUUGCCUGGUUCUACUGGUGACUAUUUGUUAGGGAAGAUUUAGUUGGUUUAAUCGUUCUGUCUUUGCCCUGCAAACAUGGCAGAACUCCCUGGUUUGAGAAGAGACCAGGCCCAGUUGACCCUGUUCUAGGAAAAACUAGCAUCUACAUUUGAGGCCACCUGCUGGUUUACCUGCAUAUAACUUCAAAUUACUUUAUCCUGCACACCAAUUGUAUUUCAUUACUUUACAUUAAAUUACAAACUAAAUCUA